rnacentral:rRNA from 1 species
UUCUAAUGGUCAGGAAUAUUAUUGGGCUUUAAGUGUCCGUAACCGGUUUGAUAACUUCCUGGUUUAAUCUGGCAGCUUAACUGUCAGUUGGCUAUGAAUACUAUCUUACUACAGGGUGGGAAAUGUCUGGGGUACUCCAGUGGUAUCGGUGAAAUGCUAUAAUCCUUGGGGGACCACCAGUGGCGAAUGCGCCAGACUGGAAGUCUCCUGACGGUGAAGGACGAAAGCCUCGGAAGCCAACAGGAUUACAUACCCCAGUAAUCCUGGCUGUAAAAGACACCUGCUAUGUGUUGGUAUGGCUAAGAACCCUAUCUGUGCCGUAAGGAAACUGUUAUAACGCGCUCCUGAGAAUUACGCUCGCAAGGGUGAAACUUAAAGGAAUUGGCGGGGGAGCACCACAAGGGGUGAAGCCUGCGGUUCAAUUGGACUCAACGCCGGGAAACUUACCGGGGGCGACAGCAAAAUGAAGGUCAGGCUGACAACCUUACCAAACAAGCUGAGCGGAGGUGCAUGGCCGUCGCCAGUUCGUGCCGUGAGGUAUCCUGUUAAUUCAGGCAACGAACGAGACCCACACGCUUAUUUGCCACCAAAGGCCUACGGGUCUGUUGGGAACACUAAGCGGACUGCCGCCUUAUACAUGGAUGAUUGGGUGGGCCACAGCAGUCUUAUGCCUAAUCCCCCGGCCACACCGGGGUUGCAAUUGUUUGGAACAUGGUCGGCUAAUUCCNGAAGGGAGGCGCCCAUCUCGAACCAUUUUUCAGUUGGGAUUGUUCGGCUGUAACCCGCCGACAUGAACGUGGAUCCCUAGUAAUCGUGUGUCAUCAUCGCACGGUGAAUACGUCUCUGCUCCUUGCACACACCGCCCGUCGCUCCAUCCGAGUGUUGUAUGAUUGAAAGCCGGUCCUCAGGGUCGGCUUAAAAUGGUAUGACGCGAGGAGGGAG